AUGGCACGAGCUGUGCUGCACCUCGGGAAGGGCUCCACUGCUGGCACCGGCACCAGCACCGGCCUCAGAGAUGACCUGGUUCCUCGGCAGAUAAAUCCCGUUGGGGCAGCAAGGUGCCUUUCUCCCCAGUGCCCUGAUAUCUCAGCCAAGGCUUGCAGGGCUGCACCCAUCCUGCAGGACUUGUCAGGGCUGCCGUGCACCGGCACCAAGGUGAGGCUGGGCAAGGCUGAACGAGGAGCCUUUCCUGGGGCUCCGUGCCCUGUGCUGCAUGCUGCAAGGAUGGCCAGGAUGUGCUGGCCAUGCUCCCUGCUGCAUGACGUGCGACCCACUGCGGGCUCAGCACCCUGCUGCAUUGCAUGCAUCUUGCUGCAGGGCGUGCACCCUGCUGCAAGGCGUGCACCCUGCUGCACAGCAUGCAUCCUGCUGAAAGCCAUGCAUCCUGCUGCACAGCAUGCAUCUUGCUGCAAGGCGUGCCCCCCCCUGCAGGCAGCACACCCCGUGUCAGCAACACUCGUGCGUUACUGCGCCCAGCCUGUGUCCGUGCAACGCCCCGGCAAUCUGGAGACCCAAAUCACAUCGCUCUCUGCUGGAAAGUCUCCAGGUGCUAAUGAAAUAUUUAUGAGUCAAGGCAUACAAGGACUCAGAUGCAAGGAAAGGAACUGUUUUUAUCGUGAAGAUGAACUUGAGGGGAACAUUUUAUUAGAGAGCAUGCAGUUGUAAAACACUGCGUUCAGGAGAGGCUGGUGCGUGAUUUCGCUCCCGUGGAGCAAGGCUCCGGCACCGAGCUGGAAAGCGAAGCAUUUCCUCGCCUGUCCUCACGGUGCUGUGCAUGGGGCUGAGGUCCUCCUGAGGACGGGGUCUGCUCUGAAAGACAGCUGGUGGGGAACAGCACGUGCUGUCCAAGCCAGCAUCCUUGCCCUUCCACUGGUGUUUUCUCACCCUUGCAACCUCCUGGCUUCGGUAGGAGACGCAAAGUGCCACCUGCAAGAAGUGCUGCCAAUGCAUCAAGGAGGGCUCGGGGAAGGCUACCCAGAACCCAGCAGGAAAACAGCUCAUCCGGGAUGGAAAAACUUCCCCUGGAGGUGCAGGACGGAGCCUGCAGCCACAUUCAGAAGGACACCAGGCGCCGGAGCUGCCUCUAAGCCUGCUCCAAGGGCAGGGAGCUCCGCGGCAGGUCCUGCUCUCCAGCACCAGGUUAUUUGUCAGGUUUGAGUUUCUCUCAGCUUUCCUUUUAAAAUAAUUAAAGUGUCAGCGCCGGUUCACAGGCUGGUCAACGUUUUAAUUCCGCCCUAACUUUAUAAGGCAAUUUCAUGAAUUAUACAGUGUGGUAACAGAAGGAGCUAAAUAAAGAUGCAACACUAGCUGUGUUUAAUAAAUAC
ensembl:lncRNA